rnacentral:rRNA from 1 species
CAAUAGCGUAUAUUAAAGUUGUUGCGGUUAAAAAGCUCGUAGUUGGAUUUCUGCUGAGGACGAUCGGUCCGCCCACUGGGUGAGUAUCUGGCUCGGCCUUGGCAUCUUCUUGGAGAACGUUGCUGCACUUGACUGUGUGGUGCGGUAUCUACGACUUUUACUUUGAGGAAAUUAGAGUGUUCACGGCAGGCAAUCGCCUUGAAUAUAUUAGCAUGGAAUAAUAACAUAGGAUCUUUGUCCUAUUUUGUUGGUUUCUAGGGCUGAGAUAAUGAUUAAUAGGGAUAAUUGGGGGCAUCUGUAUCAACGCGUCAGAGGUGGAAUUCUUGGAUUGCGUUGCGACAAACUACUGCGAAAGCAUUUGCCAAGGAUGUUUUCAUUGA